AAUAAGGUGCCUGACAAAAAGGACUAUCUUGAUGAGAUAGAUAAUGUAGAUUAUUACUCUUAUUA
rnacentral:tRNA from 1 species